GCGGAUGCGGCGAGCUUCCGAUCGAGGGUUCCGGCGAAAGCUAAGCCGUAUAUUUGAGCCGCCCCAUCAUGGAUUCGUCCACUUCGUUUGUGCCAUGUUUCGAUUUGAAUGACAAGAUGGAGCUUCUGAAACCAGGAUCGCUUCAGCAUCUUGGAGAAAAUAUGCUUGCUUUCUUACUGCAUGCUGCUUCAUCACCAAAACUUAUGAAAGAUGCACAACAGGCAAAGCAAGAGAGCACAUAAGCGAAGAAAGCUAUUUUCUUUGACGUUCUGGUAUAUAUAAUGAUUCAAUCAUCUUUGUUUGCUGUCUUUCAAUAUUAUGGCUGUACCAUGCAUUGUCUUUUUCUCAUGAAGCUAAGUAAGCACACAUAUAGCUUCUACAUUUUGACAUGUUCCUAAGGAAAAUAGAUCUUUCCACUUGAUCUGCAUAUUCUCCAUCUCUUGCUAUAACUUCUCCAAUCACGUGUCUGCCUGAUGUUGGAGGAGGACAAGAAUAUUUGCUCUUUGCCCAGGACAACCACUAGCACUUGCGGUGUAGCAAGUCAAGGUCCUCCACUUCCUCCUCUAGGAAAGGGUCCUGGCUCUGCUAAGCUCGGCCACGCCGCCACCAGCGGCACCUCACAUCUCAGGAAAGGGUCAAGUCGAGCUCUCCCGCACCGCCAACAACAAAGACAGGUUUAUGUGCCCCCUCGGCGACAAUCAUACGGUCAUCCUCUACCACUGCGUUGGAACCAAACCCUGUCUGUCCACAACCGCCUAGGUAUGGAUAUCUAUCUGUGGCCACGUUUACUCCUUCAUUGCCAUCUGCGGGUGGUUCAGGUGAUGUGAUGUCCUGCCAUGUGAAUGCCACAUCGAAGGAGGUGCACUACCUUGGCAAGGCCAGGAUUCAUGUUAAGAAAUUUUUGUAGAAGUUUAUAAUUUUAGUACUAUAUCUACCAAAAUUGCUCUUUGUCUAUUCUUAAGUUUACAAUCAUAUGGACCUCUGCUAAUUAAAGUCGUGGUAAUGUUGAAAGAUGAAAGACAUACAUAUGUAUUAACAAGAAAACCAUAUGAAGUGGAAAUAAAAUAUAUGUACUAAUGACCUUGCAAUUUGAGUAAUGGUUUUUAUAAUUGCUAAGUGACUUUUGAAAGAUUAAAGAGAUGCAUAUGAAAGAAACAAUAUGUACUAAAGGGCCUGGGAUAGUUGUUAAUUUAUAUGCCUUACUACUUAGCCAUAUUUCCAGAUAACCUUUAGGCGUCAAUGAUUAAAUCCGCAGAUUUUAGUAUCUUUAUUUAGUAUGGCACAUUUUCAAUCAAAUAGUUUCAGUGUAUUGGAUUAUUGGUGGCAUCCAUUAGUUAUGUUUCAUAAGCAUUGUACAUAUUCCUGCACCUUGGUUUGAGCACAAGGUUGGUCUGAUUUUGUUUCGUUUUGUUAUAUAGUUGUCUCGCCAUAGAGGUAAUGCAGAUCUAGGGUAUAUUUAGGUGAAUGCAGGUUUUAGCAUUUGAUUGCCUAGACAUAUAUGUGCUUUGAUUAUCUAAUAUUCGAUAUUUGUGAUGGAAGAUAUUGUGAAUUUCCUAUAGGCAGUAGUUAGGCCUUGUUGGAGCUAGAAACUAAAUAAUGAUGCACAAUACUGAUCUAACUUCAUCGACCACAAUGCCAUUUAGGAUAGUACAAAUAGUUUCUUUGUCGUCAUGUGUCAUGAACUAAAUUUAUGUUUCUACCACUGUGAUCAUACCGUUAACUCCCUCUAACCACUGGGAUAGUUGUUAAUUUAUAUGCCUUACUACUUAGCCAUAUUUCCAUGUGCCAUCCACUUCGGCUUGUGAGAUGGUUUGCUCUAUACCGUUAACUCCCUCUAACUUGACUAUGGGUUCUACACUGUGUUGGGUCCAUUUUUAGCGACAUAAAUCAAAGAACUGAAUGGUAAAAUUUGAAGAAAAAUAGUGAUAAGCACGUACCAUAUUUGGUAGUUGUUGUUACGGUAGUGAAUUUAGUCCUGCUUUAAUUAUGUCAAUGUGUUUAGACUGUUACUAAAUUGUUAAAACGAUUCAAGCUAUAUUAUUUAUCUUGAUUUCAGCAACGAACCGAGUGAACCUGGUUGAUUAAUGAAGUUAAAUUAUUUGGAUCUAGCUAGCAACUCAAUAAAUGUUAUCAUUGGGCAAAGGAGUGAUUCUUUUAUUUUUUAAGUAUGUGUGUAUAGUCCAAGAUUUCUUGAAUCUCUGAGGCCCAUAUUGCACAUACAUUAACCGGAAGCUUAGAACUACCCCUGGAAGCAAUACUAGAAAAGAGUUAAUGGUAGUGUACCACAAUAUACUACCCAAUUUGCAUAGUGCGCAAAGUCACAAUAAGAACCCAAUACAUCUCCUUUGCUUUAGGUUGUAAAAAUGGCUAAGUAUUUAAAGGUAUAACUUGGAAUUGCUUUCUAGCUCACGGUAUUUAUGGUGCAUCAGUUCUCUUGCACUUUGACUAUCACCAUGCUUAGCCCAUCUGAGUGAUGGUGAUUUUGUCAUGCAAACACUGGCAUAAACGGAUAAAUGGGUAGCUCCAAGUAGCUAUGUGUAUCCAUAAGUUCAUAACAUACAACGCUUGGAGAGGUUUCAUUAAAGGUUGCUGGUAAAUGGAAAGUAGGAACUCUGUGGUCUGACAUUUUACGUUGAGCAAACCACCCCUGUUUUAUGUUUGUCAUCAAUAGCUCAAAAUAUAGCAGGCCAAAAUCAGCCUACAACACUCAUGUUAGAAGACGAAAGUACAUACUUUGCUCUUGAUUGAAUUGCAAAUUCACCUGAAUCAGUUCUGUAUUUAUUUUUUCCUUUGGAUUCGAACAUUCUGCAGUAAGACUUUCUAUUAUGUUCCUGUGUAACCUCCACUAAUAUUUUUUUUAUGUUUUUCUGGUAACUGAAAAACGGGUUUAAACUUUCUUUUUGCUGAUGUUCUCCAGUCCAUCUAUGUUGGUGGUAGUUGCGGGACUAGAGGUGUUAUGGUACAAGAUGGGAAUGCUAACUAGCAGUCUGAUAGCACUAUCGGGCAAGGUGUUAUCUGGGAUUGGGCAAUGAACAAGAGCAGCAGAAUGAUAUUUUGACCUACUCUAUAUGUUUCUACUUUGGAAUGGCCCCAAAGGGCAUACCUGCAUCAUUGGUAGCGUCGGUGGGGGUAUAAUUUACAAAGGAGAUUUUACAGAAAGGACCCUAAACAGAUGACAAGAAAAUCGAUCAGGUCUUUCUCCUCCAUGGCUAAUUGUCCUUGCCGUAACAAGAGCGGAUACCACUUGGGUAUGCGAGCACGAAGAACGCCAUGAGAAUAAGAAGGUCCUUGGAACUGGAGGUUGGUCUAACUAUUUUGUUCUAUUCUUGACCCGUAGAAAAACUAAAGUACCACAACUACACUUAGUUCUGAGUUUUGUUGUACAAAUUGACUCUCUUUGGGAUGACCAAAUUUCUCCAGUGUUUAUUGUUAUACAUAUUGAUUGUUGAUACUC